rnacentral:snoRNA from 1 species
CUGGCAUCUUCGAAGAUCCCUAUAUUCGCUCAAUAAUAUAAUGAUUCAAAGCGAUGCCUAAAUCAAUUUAUUUAAGUUUAUUUAAUUUAAAUCUUUGAUCCCAACCUGAAUUAAACUAUUCAAAUGCGUUUUACUCUCUCUUAUUUGAAUACGAUUCGUUUGGAACAUUC